GCCGCACACCUUACUCACUCCACCUCGCUCAAGCUCCCUCCCUCUCUCAUCUUCCUCACUCCACCGCACACACCUAGCACACUCCCCUGCCUCCCGCCCUCUGCUUCGCUCCACCUCGCCAGUGCGGUCCAAGAAACAGCCCGACGAGGCUCCUCGGCAGUCCCCGACGGCCUCCAGAGACCCCACAGGCUCCUCGCCGCCAGCCCGCCACUCAAUCGGCUCCACGGCGAGGAGCAGGAGCACCUCCUCGGGGACCCCUAGGAAGGCCCGAUUGGAGCAGCGCGCAGGGUACCUCACAUGAGAGCUUUUGCCAAUUUGCCUUGAUGUUGCUCAAGAUGCACGACAGGGACGUACUUCUACCACAGGCACUUCAGAAUGCAGAGGUCUAUUGUGGAUGUGGCAGACGGGGAUGAUGUACCACGAGAACAUCUACAUCCAGAUGGUUGGCCUCUCCUCCGACCCCAUGAGAUGGAUCGGUGAGACACAGGGAGAUGCAAGAGUUGCAACAAUUGUAUAAGAUGAACAUAAAGUUUUAGCAAUUCCAUGAAAGGUAUAUCUUUAAUACUCAGGCAUCUACUUUCGAACCAAUUUAGAGGGGAGACAACCAUCAUGCCAAACCAAUUUAGAGGGGCGAUCAACUUAUCUCUAUAACCCAUGUUACUCUCUAGAUGCAACAGGAAACAUUGAUUAGGCUAGAGGCAUUAUGACCUGACACACGCGGCCUCCUAGCUUUGUUAACAGAUCGAGGAAAGAUAAUACCGGUACAUCUUUUCUAGUACAUCUUUUCUAUCUACAUGAUAACUCCAGUCACGUGAGAAAUACUAUGAAGUAAAUAGAUUGCAUGUUAUGCUAUGAAGUAAAUAGAUAUCAAAGCCUGAAACCUCAAAUAUCCUAUCAGAUUGGUAUUAGUGAACUAUUAAAACAUGUUGACCUGACACACCAGAUUACCGCAGAUUCUCACAUGAUGGGGAAGUUCUUCCAAAAAAUAGGGACACAACCAAUUUACAAAGUGCACACAGCUUAGAGGUGUGAUUACGUACCUCCACUCUGAUCCCAACAGAGGUUGUAAACUCUCCCUGAUGAUUCGCAUGAUAAUACCAGCCAAGGUAUGAAACAACAAGUCUCCUCACAAAUCUUCAUAUACAACUUAGAGGUGUGGUUACGUACCUUCCCUGAUGAUCCGCAUAUACUCUCGAGGAGAUCUCUCGCAUAACAAUGCUUGAGGGUACCUUUUAUAUGCAUGCACCAGAAAUCAUCCAGCCAUGCUUGAGGGUACCAAUCUGAAGGGAUUAUAUGAUUUCAGGCAAGUACCGAUAUGGUUGAUCAGGAAAUGAUGAAGUUUCCUUUGUUCUGUGUAGGUGCGAGAUCAGGAAAUGAUGGACGGUCGGAGGCUUCCUUUCCUUGUUUCCUGAUGGUGUGGUGAUGAAAAUCUGUGGAAAUGAUGGAGUUUGCUUUCAUGUUGCCCUCAAAUUAUGGUGCGGUAGAGAUGGUGAAAUAAUGGUGCGGUGAUUUUGCUGUGGAGUUUCUUUUCCUGCUGCCCUCAAAUUAUGGUGCCGUAUAGAUGCUAAAUUGUUUGAGGCUUCCUUUCCUGAUGGUAUAGAUGCUAAAUUGUUUUAGACUUCCUUUCCUGAUGGUGUGGUGAUGAAAAUCUGUGGAAAUGAUAGUUUCCUUUCCUGUUGCCCUCAAAUUAUGGUGCGGUGAUUUUACUGUGGAGUUUCUUUUCAUGUUGCCUGAAAAGGUGUAGUUUCCUUUUGUAGAGAUGCUAAAUUGUUUGAGGCUUCCUUUUGUGUUGCCCUGAAACAGUGGAGUUUCCUUUGCUGUGGAAUGAUGGCGUGGUUCAAAUA